rnacentral:rRNA from 1 species
GAUGAACGCUGGCGGCGUGCCUAAUACAUGCAAGUCGAACGAACAGACGAGGAGCUUGCUCCUCUGACGUUAGCGGCGCACGGGUGAGUAACACGUGGAUCACCUCCCUAUAAGUCUGGGAACUCUUCGGAAAACGGGCGCUUAUCCCGGAUAAUCUCUUGCACCACGUGGUUCAAUAGUAAAAGACGGUUUUGCUGUCUGUUCUCGCUGGAUCCGAGCCGCAUUAGCUAGUUGGUACGGUAAAGGCUUACCAAGGCAAGCAUGCGUAGCCGACCGGACAGGGUGAUCGGCCACAUUGGAACUGAGACAGCGUCCAGACGCCUACGAGAGGCAGCAGUAGGGUAUCGGCCGCAAUAGGCGGAAGCCUGACGGAGCAACGCGGCGUGAGUGAUGAAGGUCCUGGGAGCGGAAUACUCGGUUACGAGGGAAGAACAAAUGUGUAAGGAACUAUGCACGGCGUGACGGUACCUAAUCAGAAAGCCACGGCUAACUACGUG